GAUAAUCGUCAGGCUUUUCAGAAGCCUUGUUUUGUGUUUAUCCACAUUUAACCCUCUGAGUGUUAUUAAGAGCACCACUAUGCAUGUCUGGCACACCGAGGAAAGUGGAGACAGGGAGGGGGGAACACGCACACAGUUUCUGCUUCCAGCCUAGAGACCCUGGAAAACAAGUCCUCGGCGCCUGCUCCUGCCUAUCCAGCGUUGAAGUUUCCACCCACAGGCCACAGACACAUUCAGCAUGAGUAAACUGGUGUAAGCCAUCAAUGCCAGAAUCCAAGCUAUUACACUGUCAAAGCCUUUGCACUGGAGAAGACCUUUCCACCCACCUCCUCACCCCAGCAAACUUCCUCUUCCUACUCAACAACGUGAAGUCAUAAUCCUGUGUUAUCAACAUCACAGUCGGUUGCCAUGGAAAUAAUUAGACAUGACUGCUCAGGUUAGAAAUUACAGCCCAUGUAAGUGUUUGCCUCCAGGUGAAGAGAGCAUCUGGAGAAAGAACAUUUGAGUUACCCUAAAUCACCAAGUAGCAAAAUAAAGUUUGCCAGUGAGAAGCACUGCACGAAUCUGUCCAAAUGUGGGCACGUCACCAAAUAACAGUCACCCUGUGGUAACUGGCAAAAGAGUGCAAAGUAAGAGGCAAGUAUACA